rnacentral:rRNA from 1 species
GGGAACUACNGAGCUAAGCUUAAAACCUAAAAGACUUGACGGUACCCCAUAUCCCCCUAGAGGAGCCUGUCCUUUAAUCGACAAUCCCCGUUUUACCUCACCAUUUUUUGCUAAAUCAGCCUGUAUACUUCCGUCGUCAGCUUACCACGUGAGCGUCAGUGAGCCCAAUGUUUUUUCAACUACACGUCAGGUCAAGGUGCAGCACAUGAAAUGGAAAGAGAUGGGCUACACUCUCUAAUAUAGAGAAUACGAAAAACUUUAUGAAAUCUAGUCAAAAGGUGGAUUUAGAAGUAAAAAGGAAUCAGNAGAGC